UUAUAUAAAUAUGUAUAUGUUAUUAUUAAAAUAUUUUCACUCACCAUGUAGAUAGCACACUGUGACAUACAUAUUCUUGAUAAGAAAACGAUUUUUUGAAAACAUCUUCAAAGAGAGAGAGAGAGAGAGAGAGAUGCUUCUCUCUUGCUUCGUCGUGCUGCGCAGUAGGAGACGGUGGAGGGGAGAUUGACGUAGACUGACGCGCAGUGCGCAUCGCGCACAGCUGUUCUCCCACUCCGCGUCCGUCACGUGACAAGUGACACGUGACCCGUGACGUGCCGCAUUCCAGCGCCGCCUGGAGGUCAAAGUUGUUUCAAAGUCGCACGCGUCGAGACGCGCUCGCUCUUUCUCGCCACGAUAAUUAGGUAUUGUACGAAAUAUUCUUUAAUUAAAGCAGUAUUGUGUCGUAACAUUAAACACAUUGACACAUGCGGAAUGCAAUUAUAAAGUGCAACGCGUAGAAUACUUUAAUCACAGCGAUAUUACGACUCGUAAGCGAGUGAGACGGUGUAGUGUGUGUUUCUCCCCUAGCCUCGAUUGACAAGACAUCCCAUAUUAUAUUUUAACUAACUUUAGUGUUAUCACAUCUUUAACGACUCGUGCAAAUCACCAUAUACAAAGAAUGCUGUUUGCGAAAUAUAAAGCGAGGAAUAUAUUGGCGGGAUGCUGGGAGAGGUUAAAGUGUUAAAGGGGUUUGCCUGAAAAAGAGAUAUAUCAUUGUAUAUUUAAAUUACACAACACACAAUUACAGCGUAAACAUUAUAGACCGCAAGAAGUCGAGAGUGAAGGAGGUGCGUACAAAUUUGAUAUGCGCUUUAAAGCGGCGCUCGUCGACUCUAUUUUACUGCAUAUUUGCAAAAAUGAGGUGGAGAAGCAUCGACGAAGAGAGAAGAUGAAAGGGAGGAGGAUGAAGAACGAAAAAUUGAAGGGAAACGAGGUAAAUAAAAAUUUUUAAAAAUGAAGAAAGUGCGACUGGGACACGAGUGAAGGAUUAAACGAUAUAUGACGAGGACGACGACGACGACGGCGACGACGAUUCGAAAGAAUCGAUUUGGAAGGAUGCGGUGACGAGAUAGAGUGAAUCGCUCGACCGAAGGAUCGGAAGAGGAGCUCCUGCGAAAGAUCUUCGAACGGCUGGAAAAAUCACGCAGCUCGCGAAUCCAAUACAGGUAGUCGAGAGAGAACGAACGGGAAGCGAAGAAAGGAUCUCUCCUUCACUCUUUCAGGCGCCUCUCGCUCCUUCGCUUCACUUGGCGUGUUGCUUCGGGAGGUGCCGCUUCAUGUGCAGCGCGAGAUGAUCGCUUCUGGCGAAGGAGCGCUCGCAGACCGCGCAUUUAAAGGGCUUAGCCCCGGUGUGCUUGCGGUAAUGCCGCGUCAAUUCGUCGCUCCUGGCAAAUCGCCACUCACAUUCCGGCCAUUGACACUGAUACGGUUUCUCGCCUGAAACAAUCAAGACGGACGUGGAUGAGAACAAGCAAAACAAGCAGCAGUGUUAGAUGUGUACGUUUCAGUAUUAUUAUUAUCGAGAAGAAGCGACCGGUUACAUUAGUCGGAAUUACUGUGUAUAAUUAAUUCUUAUAAGCUACAAGUAUAGAAGCGACAUAACGUAUAAUUCUCGUUUUCUCGAUGAAUUUAUUCAUCAAGCAGUCUCUAAAUUUCUUUUAAGGGAAAACAGAAUAAUGUGAUUUGAAAAAGAAAUAAUAGGGAAAUUUAGAGACUACUUAUUUAAGGCUCCUGGCCGACCGUGUUAUGGAAUCGAGAAGCGACAUAACGUAGAAUUCUCGUUUUCUUGAUGAAUUCACCAAGUAGUUUCUAAAUUUCUUUUAAGAGAAAACGGAAUGAUGCGUUGUUAAGAAGAAAUAAUAGGAAAAUUUUUAGAAAUUAACAAAAAAAGUUAGAGAAAGAAAAUAUGUGCAAGUACACGUUUGUUGCACUCGGAAUAUUCGGAUCUUUUUUAAAUGUGAAAGAGAAUAUAUUAUAUGUACUGUAUCGAGAAUCGAGCGGGCGUGAGCGAAUAUUCCGCGAGUUUUGAGAGAGAGAGAGAGAGAGACCGGCGCGACCUAUUAGAGAACAAAGCGUUUGCUCUUUGCGAAGAUAGAGCUGCAGCGGGAUGCGGUAUAAGAUAUAUCCCCGUCUCGCGCCUCUCAGCUGCGAGAGAUGCAGCACGGUGUGACCUUUAACUGUACCUGCAUGCCGCAACACGCUCACCUGUAUUCUAGCGCAAUCGCGGCGGCCGGUCCGCGAGCGAACGAGCGAACGAGCCGAUCUACUAAUGCGAGCCAACAUGCUCCGCAUUCCGCCUAGCUUUGAUUAUCGGGAGAGAACUCGCCUCGUUGCCUAUUGUACGAUUGCGUUAUCUUUACGAGCGAGAGGAUUAAGAGCUCAUCUCCGCGCGACUGAUCAAAAUAUUGACGACAAAUGGAGUUUCAGAAAAUUCGCGAUCCGUAUGUAUAUGAUGAAAGUAAAGGCAAGUGUGUAUACGA